rnacentral:lncRNA from 1 species
UAGUUCGCAACCUCAUCACCGUUUCAGGAUUCCUUUGCUUUCGGAACCUUUAGUAGUCAACUAGUCACCUAUUCACAAGAUAGUCUGUUGGUCACCUGUUAGUAAGACAGCCUGUCAGUCACCUGUUCGGGAAAUAGUCUGCCAAUCACCUGAUAAUGAGACAGCCCGUUAGUCACCUAUUCGUGAGACAAUUUGCCAAUCACCUGUUCGCGAGACAGUCCUUCAAUCGA